AGGAUUUUAAGUUAUUUUUAAACUAUAAGCCUUCAAAGCUUGAAAAAAAAGAAUCUUUUAAAUCCUA
rnacentral:tRNA from 1 species